AGUCGAACGGCAGCACGGGUACUUGUACCUGGUGGCGAGUGGCGAACGGGUGAGUAAUACAUCGGAACGUACCUUAUCGUGGGGGAUAACGCAGCGAAAGCUGUGCUAAUACCGCAUACGCCCUGAGGGGGAAAGCGGGGGAUCGAAAGACCUCGCGCGAUUAGAGCGGCCGAUGCCUGAUUAGCUUGUUGGUGGGGUAAAAGCCCACCAAGGCGACGAUCAGUAGCUGGUCUGAGAGGACGAUCAGCCACACUGGGACUGAGACACGGCCCAGACUCCUACGGGAGGCAGCAGUGGGGAAUUUUGGACAAUGGGGGCAACCCUGAUCCAGCAAUGCCGCGUGAGUGAAGAAGGCCUUCGGGUUGUAAAGCUCUUUUGUCAGGGAAGAAACACCGGCUCUAACACAGUCCGGGAAUGACGGUACCUGAAGAAUAAGCACCGGCUAACUACGUGCCAGCAGCCGCGGUAAUACGUAGGGUGCAAGCGUUAAUCGGAAUUACUGGGCGUAAAGCGUGCGCAGGCGGUUAUACAAGACAGGCGUGAAAUCCCCGGGCUUAACCUGGGAAUGGCGCCUGUGACUGUAUAGCUAGAGUGUGUCAGAGGGGGGUAGAAUUCCACGUGUAGCAGUGAAAUGCGUAGAUAUGUGGAGGAAUACCAAUAGCGAAAGGCAGCCCCCUGGGAUAACACUGACGCUCAUGCACGAAAGCGUGGGGAGCAAACAGGAUUAGAUACCCUGGUAGUCCACGCCCUAAACGAUGCUGACUAGUUGUUCGGGAUUUACAUCCUGAGUAACGUAGCUACGCGUGAAGUCAGCCGCCUGGGGAGUACGGUCGCAGAUUAAACUCAAGGAAUUGACGGGACCCGCACAGCGUGGAUGAUGUGGAUUAAUUCGAUGCACGCGAAAACNUACCUACCCUUGACAUGUCACUA
rnacentral:rRNA from 1 species